CAGUGGGUAAAGAUUAUUUAUUGUGACAUUGUAAUAAAAUUUGAUUAAUAACAAAACUUGUGUCAAUAAAUUUCAGCAGAUGUAGAAAUUUAUAUGACAAAGAAAUUGGGGAAAUUGGAAAGAUUGUUGCACAAUAAUGACCCAUUGAUAUAUUUCCUUGGUUAAAUUGCACAAUAUUGAUAUAUUUGAUAAAUAUAAAAAGGGACCAAUUCAGACAGCACAUAUGUAUAUACCUUCAUAUAGAAAGAGACUCCUUGUGACAC
rnacentral:lncRNA from 1 species